ensembl:snRNA U6 U6 spliceosomal RNA
GUGUUUGCUUUGGCAGCACAUAUACUAAAAUUGGAACGAUACAGAGCAGAUUAGCACGGCCCUUGUAAUGCAAAUUUGUGAAGCAUUCCAUAUUUUU